CUUACGGGCGCUCAUCACUUCAUCUCUAUGAAGUUGACGUCCCGAAACUUUUUAUUCUGGCGCACCCAGCUUAUUCCGUUUCUUCGCGGACAGGACCUGCUCGGCUUUGUGGAUGGCACCUCACUGUGCCCGCGUCCCA